ensembl:lncRNA
GCUAACUGCAGGUCUGUGAAGACCUGGGGCCUUUCUCUUUCAACACCAGCUAGAAAGCUGCUGCAUCCAGCUCUCCAGUUGGAAACCUGGCUCUGAUACCAGAUGUAAAAGGAUGCUGGCUCUGAUACCAGAUGUAAAAGAUGUUGACUAGUUACCGUGAAAUAUACAUGGAAGACUAUAUGUGAGAGGAUAUUGUGACUGUACAUAAGUCUAUAGAAAUCAUGACAGAAGUUCCAGAGGAAAUAAACCCCCAGCAAUGUGGAGAGCGGAAGCAGCUUUAUCAUCACAUAGAAGUUAUUAACAUGUUUGGAAGGCAGACCGUGAAAAGGUACACACUGACAGCUUAUGGUAUAAAACUCCAGCAGUCAUUGGCUAUCUGAAAAAGUUAUUUAUAUUUCAUGAAAUGUCUGGAAGAUCUGUGAAGUACAAGUGGAAGAUAGGGAAAGUUCAGUCCAAGAAGAUGUGAAGAGCUGGGGAGGAUACAAAGUUACCAAGCAGCUGUAUAGCAUGGAGACGAAGAUAGGAGCUCUGCAAUCAGCCACACUCGGUUUCAAGUUCAAGUCCUGUCAUUUACUAGCUGUGUGACUUUAAGUGCCAGAAAUAUUUUAACAGCUUUACUGAGGUAUAAUUGAUAUACAAAGAGCUGCACAUAUUCAAUUUGUACAGUUUGAUGAGUUUGAACAAAUGCAAACAUCUGUGAUACCAUCACCACGGUCAAGGUAAUAAAUAUAUCCAAC